GACGAACGCUGGCUGCGUGCUUAACACAUGCAAGUCGAACGCUGAAGCCCCAGCUUGCUGGGGUGGAUGAGUGGCGAACGGGUGAGUAACACGUGAGUAACCUGCCCCUGACUUCGGGAUAAGCCCGGGAAACUGGGUCUAAUACCGGAUACGACCGUCGGACGCAUGUCUGGUGGUGGAAAGUUUUUUCGGUUGGGGAUGGGCUCGCGGCCUAUCAGUUUGUUGGUGAGGUAAUGGCUCACCAAGACGACGACGGGUAGCCGGCCUGAGAGGGCGACCGGCCACACUGGGACUGAGACACGGCCCAG
rnacentral:rRNA from 1 species